CCUACGGGUGGCUGCAGUGGGGAAUAUUGGACAAUGGGGGGAACCCUGAUCCAGCCAUGCCGCGUGUGUGAAGAAGGCCCUCGGGUUGUAAAGCACUUUCAGUGAGGAAGAACGCCUGGUGGUUAAUACCCAUCAGGAAAGACAUCACUCACAGAAGAAGCACCGGCUAACUCCGUGCCAGCAGCCGCGGUAAUACGGAGGGUGCGAGCGUUAAUCGGAACUACUGGGCGUAAAGCGCGCGUAGGUGGCUUGAUAAGCCGGUUGUGAAAGCCCCGGGCUCAACCUGGGAACGGCAUCCGGAACUGUCAAGCUAGAGUGCAGGAGAGGAAGGUAGAAUUCCCGGUGUAGCGGUGAAAUGCGUAGAGAUCGGGAGGAAUACCAGUGGCGAAGGCGGCCUUCUGGACUGACACUGACACUGAGGUGCGAAAGCGUGGGUAGCAAACAGGAUUAGAUACCCUUGUAGUC
rnacentral:rRNA from 1 species